UGAAGGCCCAUUAUCUGUUAAAUUCAUGAAAUCCCUGUGUGAUUUUGCUCAUAAUUUAGCAAAAGAAUCAGAGUGCAGCGUGGUCGCAACGGAGGUAGCGAGCGGUGAGCCGUUAAGGUUAGCAAUCCCGCACUGGAAGAAACUAUCAUGCGCUGAGGACCUAUGGUGCAUGAAACGACUUGGGGAAGAAUACAGUGACGGGUCUGUAGGUGACUGGACAAAAUCACAACCUGGUCUUUCUAUAUUUGUUGAUCCUAGAGAAGUCUAACUUUAUAAAAUACUAGUAGAGGGCUCCAUAGUAGGGAAUCUAAUUUUAGAAGUUCAAAGAAAAAAGCAGCUGCUCGUAAAGUUGAUAUUUCCCUUUUAGUAGCUUCCUGUUUUUUCUUUUCCUUUUUAAAUUUCCAAGUAUUUAGAUAUAAGUUGGAUGAAGCAAAUAUGUAUGAUAUAAAAAUAUGAUAAAAACUUUGUUUUGUUGUUCAUUAGUUGUAAAGGAG
rnacentral:misc_RNA from 1 species